UUUCCAUCAUUAUCUUCUAUGGAGUUCUUCAUUCCCGUAUCUGUGGCCCUUAAAAUCCUACGAUUGAGUGCCUGUCUUGGAUCGGCCAUCAGUUCGUUACCUUGGUUCUCAGACGAUGCUUGCAACAACGCAAUGGGAUUCACCCACUCUUGGGCAGAGAAGCCUUCAGAGAAGGAUCCUGACUCGGUGGUUCGUGCAGAGCAGUGACAUUUGGCAGUGUUUGCUCAGCAAAAAAGUCUUGGAGGCUGCCGUCAUGCUGCUCAGCGGGCACACCAAGAACAAGAGCUGGCCAGGGAUGACGGACGCAUCUAGGCCUUCUUGGCCUAAGG
rnacentral:lncRNA from 1 species